AGAUUAAACUCAACGGAUUGACGGGGCCCGCACAAGCAGCGGAGCAUGUGUUUAAUUCGAAGCAACGCGAAGAACCUUACCUAGACUUGACAUCUCCUGAAUUACUCUGUAAUGGAGGAAGCCUUUCGGGGCAGGAAGACAGGUGGUGCAUGGUUGUCGUCAGCUCGUGUCGUGAGAUGUUGGGUUAAGUCCCGCAACGAGCGCAACCCUUAUUGUUAGUUGCUACCAUUUAGUUGAGCACUCUAGCGAGACUGCCCGGGUUAACCGGGAGGAAGGUGGAGAUGACGUCAAAUCAUCAUGCCCCUUAUGUCUAGGGCUACACACGUGCUACAAUGGCUGGUACAGAGAGAUGCUAAACCGCGAGGUAGAGCCAAACUUCAAAACCAGUCUCAGUUCGGAUUGUAGGCUGAAACUCGCCUACAUGAAGCUGGAGUUGCUAGUAAUCGCGAAUCAGAAUGUCGCGGUGAAUACGUUCCCGGGCCUUGUACACACCGCCCGUCACACCAUGAGAGUUGGCAAUACCCAAAGUUCGUGAGCUAACGCGUAAGCGAGGCAGCGACCUAAGGUAGGGUCAGCGAUUGGGGUGAAGUCGUAACAAGGUAACC
rnacentral:rRNA from 1 species